CGUGCAGACACCAUGGGGAAAAUUUCACACCCAUCGUGACGACCAAAAAUAUGUUUGCUAAAAAAUAAUCUACGUAUUACAAAAACCAAGGGUAUUUGCUCAAGCCGUUCUACUUCGUGACCUCUUCGGGUCUCUCAGUCCCACUCGCCCUUCGAGUCUCUGUCAAAAUGCUUAUUUCCUUUGUUGCUCCUCAAGCGAUCAGAACCAACUCUCUCAAAACCCCCUCUAACUCGAACCAUCUGUGAGACAUCAGAAUUUUGAAACCUAGCCUUUGAGGGUAAAGGAUUCAGCACUUGAACCUCGUUUUUUCUGUUACGAGCGAUCAGCGAUGUCAGAUAUUAGGAAAUGGUUUAUGAAGCAGCAUGACAAGGGCAAUGGGGCAUCAUCCCAGCCAUCAAAACCCGCAACAACUGUCUCUCAGCCAUCCAAGCCUUCAAGUGUGACUGAAGAAAAAAAAGAAACACGAAGGAAAACUAGUAAAUAUUUUGCUACUGCCCCACCAGAGAAGAAACAAGGGGAAGAAAAGAACACUGAGAAAUCCUCACCUGUGAAAAGAAAGAUAAAAAAGGUCGGUACUGAUGAGGACUACUCUGAUGAAAUUAAGCCUCCCACUGCAAAAAAGAUUAACAGAAGUGAGGAUGAUGACUUUGUCUCUUCAGUUUCAAAGAAAAAGGGGGUGGGAAUUAGUCCUGCAAAAGAAACUAAGAGAUCAAGGGGUUCCAUUGCCGAGGACGAGAAGGUUGAUACACCUGAGAAGAAACCCAAAAUUGGCUCUGGUAAACGCAUGGUUUCUGUUGAUGAAGAUGGUGAAAGUGUUUAUCUGGAGGACUCUACUCCUGUUAAACCUGCUGGAAGGGGUAGUGGUGGAAGAGGAACCAGUGGUGGAACGCCUGGUGGUGGCCGAGGACGAGGUGGCGGAAGGGGUGGAUACAUGAACUUCUUAGAGAGAAAUGAUCCACCAAACAAGGGACAAAAGGAAGUACCUGAGGGUGCCCCUGGCUGCUUAAAUGGUCUCACUUUUGUGAUCAGUGGGACACUUGACAGUUUAGAGAGGGAAGAAGCAGAGGAUCUGAUUAAGAGCUACGGUGGUCGUGUCACCAGUGCUGUUAGCAAAAAAACGAAUUACCUUCUAGUUGAUGAAGACAUUGGAGGGCGGAAAUCGUCAAAAGCAAAGGAACUUGGUGUGACUUUUCUGUCCGAGGACGCUCUGUUUGAAAUGAUUCGCAAAUCAAAGCCAGCAAAAGAGCCUGUGAAAGAUGAAUCACAUAAGAAAAUCACAGAGAAAGUUGAGGAGAUAAGGCCGAAGUUGAAAAUAAAAGCAAAGGCAGAGGGUCCAACAAUCAAAGUUCCAAUCCAAAAAGGAUCUCAAAAGGUUUCAGAUUCAAGUGUCCCUAAAGGGAUAAGUAGCAAAAAUUUAAGUGAUUCCUUGACCUGGACAGAAAAGUAUAGACCAAAAGUGCCAAAUGACAUUGUCGGCAAUCAAUCACUAGUUAAACAACUACAUGAUUGGCUGCUGCAUUGGGAUGAGCAGAAUCUGUAUACUGGCAAGAAGACCAAAGGUAAGAGGCAGAGUGAUAGUAAUGCUAAAAAGGCAGUAUUGCUUAGUGGGACACCGGGUAUUGGUAAGACUACCGCGGCAAAGUUGCUGAGCAAGAUGGUUGGAAGAGAAACAAUUGAGGUCAAUGCAAGUGAUAACCGUGGCAAGGCUGACUCUAAAAUUGUCAAAGGAAUUGGUGGAAACACGUCCAAUUCCAUUAAAGAACUUGUGAGCAAUGAAGCUUUGAAAGUCAGUGGUGACCAAUCGAAGCAUCUUAAGUCUGUAUUGAUUAUGGAUGAGGUGGAUGGGAUGUCUGCUGGAGACAGAGGAGGUGUGGCUGAUCUAAUAGCUAGCAUCAAGAUUUCAAAGAUCCCUAUAAUUUGUAUUUGUAAUGACCGCUAUUCACAAAAAUUGAAAAGCCUUGUCAACUAUUGCCUUCCUCUUAACUUCAGGAAACCAACAAAACAACAGAUGGCAAAGAGGUUGUUGCAAAUUGCUAAAACUGAAGGCCUUCAAGUUGAUGAGAUUGCACUAGAGGAACUUGCUGAGAGAGUUAAUGGAGAUAUUCGAAUGGCUAUAAAUCAACUGCAAUAUAUGAGUCUCUCACUUUCAGUCAUUAAAUAUGGUGACGUAAAAGAGCGGCUUCUCAGCAGUAGCAAGGAUGAAGAUAUAUCACCUUUCACUGCUGUUGACAAGUUGUUUGGCUAUAAUGGAGGGAAGUUGAGAAUGGAUGAACGCAUUGAUUUGAGUAUGAGUGAUCCUGACUUGGUUCCACUUCUCAUUCAGGAAAACUACAUCAAUUAUCGUCCUAGUAUUGUUGGCAGAAAUGAUAAUGGUGUUCAACGUAUGGAUCUGCUGGCCCGAACUGCGGAGUCUAUUGCAGAUGGAGAUAUAGUUAAUGUACAAAUUCGAAGAUAUCGACAGUGGCAGCUAUCACAAAUUGGUUCCCUUGCAUCUUGUAUUAUUCCUGCUGCUUUGAUGCAUGGCCAAAGAGAGGUUCUUGAACAGGGAGAGCGAAACUUCAAUAGAUUUGGUGGUUGGUUGGGAAAGAAUUCUACAGCUGGCAAAAAUUUAAGGCUUCUGGAGGAUGUGCAUGUUCAUCUUCUUGCCUCUCGUGCUUCUAAUGUGAAUAGGGAAGCCUUGCGAACUGACUACUUCCCCCUCAUAGCAAGUCAGUUGACACACCCUCUUCGAAUUUUGCCUAAGGAUGAAGCAGUUCAGAGUGUUGUGGAGUUCAUGGACGCUUACUCAAUCAGUCAGGAGGACUUUGACACAUUUAUGGAGCUAUCCAAAUUACAGGGCCACCCUAGUCUUCUUGAAGGUAUUCAGCCUGCAGUUAAAGCUGCACUCACAAAGGCAUACAAGCAAGGUAGUAGUUCACGUGUUGUGAGAGCAGCAGAUAUGAUAACUCUUCCAGGCGUGAAGAAGGCUCCCAAGAAACGCAUUGCUGCUAUAUUAGAACCUGUUGAAGACAAUUUAACUGUCGACGAAAAUGGAGAUGAUGCUGUGGAAAGUGCAGAAGAACAGCCUUCUGAUAAUGAAGACCAAGGUGUGGUGGCGCUAUUAGUCUAUAACUCAUAAUGACUAAUAAUACAACAGAAAGUGUAUGACAGUACUUGUUUAUAUCCUGCAUGAUUGUGAACAACUCUCUUGACGAUCAGAUCUCAACAAUGAAUGGCUAUGGAAUAUCUUUUCUCCAAUGACAGACUCAAGUUUUGAAGAAUUUGGAGCAGAGGAAUGAAGCCUCCCAAUCAUCCAUUCUUGACAUUUGACAAUCGAGGGACCUGUUUAUGUCCAUGCAGGAUGUAAGCAGGUACUGUAAUAAAUGGUCCCAUAGCACAACAUUUCUAUGGGUCCGAGUUGGUAACGGAAGAGGUUUGGGAUGAUUGUUGUGCUGUUCAAGUGUACCCAUCCUACACAGGCCAUGGGGGGGGUGAUGUUGAUUUAUACCGGAAUUUGGGGAUGGACAUAAUGUUGUAAACAAUAUGAUCUCUUUCAAAGUAAAUGUGGGGGGAAGUUCUGGUGAAAGAACCUGGUUUGACAACAUGGUGCAAGGAGAAAAUGUUCAAUAAAACAAACGAAACAAUAGAGAAUGUUUGAGGCACAAUGAGAGUCUAAUUGUACAACCAGAGGGAAACGAAAAGGGUCGUUGAGAUUUCUGAUCAACCUCAUAUCCUCUACUUUUACUGCAUGAAUAUUCUGGUGUAGAAAAGUUACAGUUGGAUCUCCAAAGCCACAAGUCAAAAGGCAUUCGAGUAGAGCUGGAUUUGAAGGACAAAGGAGGAAG